ACAGACAAAUCAAAACAGAGAGAAAAAAGACAAAGGCAGUCAGGCAAACAUCACCAAUACAAAUCCGACACUCACGUGCUCUUUCUUUCUUCCUUUCCUUUCGUUGUCUUUCUGUCUCUUGAAUUUCUCC
rnacentral:ribozyme from 11 species